GAUGAACGCUGACAGAAUGCUUAACACAUGCAAGUCUUUCGCGAAGCUGUGCUUGCACAGCCUAGCCAAGGCGGACGGGUGAGUAACGCGUAAGGAACUUGCUCCGCAGUCAGGGAUAACAGACGGAAACGACUGAUAAGACCUGGUAAAGUCAGGCGCACCCAUGUCCAGCCUGAUGAAAAGAGAUGCCGCAGGGGAGUCUUGCCUCCUAUUAGCUUGUUGGUGGGGUAACGGCCCACCAAGGCGAUGAUAGGUAGCCGGCCUGAGAGGGUGGACGGCCACAGGGGGAGUGAGAUGCGGCCCUUACUCCUAGGGGAGGGAGGAGUGGGGAAUAGUGGAAAGUGGGGGCAACCCUGAUACAGCAAUUCUGUGUGCAAGAUGAAGGUUUUCGGAUUGUAAAGUGUUUUCAGGAGGGAAGAAAAAAAUGACGGUACCUGCAGAAGAAGCGACGGCUAAAUACGUG
rnacentral:rRNA from 1 species